UACGUAGGGUGCAAGCGUUAAUCGGAAUUACUGGGCGUAAAGCGUGCGCAGGCGGCUUUGCAAGACAGAUGUGAAAUCCCCGGGCUUAACCUGGGAACUGCAUUUGUGACUGCAUGGCUGGAGUGCGGCAGAGGGGGAUGGAAUUCCGCGUGUAGCAGUGAAAUGCGUAGAUAUGCGGAGGAACACCGAUGGCGAAGGCAAUCCCCUGGGCCUGCACUGACGCUCAUGCACGAAAGCGUGGGGAGCAAACAGGAUUAGAAACCCCCGUAGUCC
rnacentral:rRNA from 1 species